rnacentral:rRNA from 1 species
AUACGGAGGAUGCAAGCGUUAUCCGGAUUUAUUGGGUUUAAAGGGUGCGUAGGCGGUUUGCUAAGCGGGAGGUGAAAUGCCGGCGCUCAACGUCGGAAGUGCCUCCCGAACUGGUGGACUGGAAUGACUCUGCCGUGGGAGGAAUGUGUAGUGUAGCGGUGAAAUGCUUAGAGAUUACACAGAACACCGAUUGCGAAGGCAUCUCACGAAGGGUUGAUUGACGCUGAGGCACGAAAGCGUGGGGAUCAAACAGGAUUAGAUACCCUGGUAGUCCACGCAGUAAACGAUGAUGGCUAACCGCUGGUUUUUUCGGAUCAGUGGCCAAGCGAAAGCGAUAAGCCAUCCACCUGGGGAGUACGACCGCAAGG